UUGCUCAUUUACGCACUUGAAUCAGUUU
rnacentral:sRNA from 1 species